CCUACGGGGGGCAGCAGUAGGGAAUAUUGCUCAAUGGGGGAAACCCUGAUGCAGCGACGCCGCGUGGAGGAUGAAGGUUUUCGGAUUGUAAACUCCUUUUGUUAGAGAAGAAAAUGACGGUAUCUAACGAAUAAGCACCGGCUAACUCCGUGCCAGCAGCCGCGGUCAUACGGAGGGUGCAAGCGUUACUCGGAAUCACUGGGCGGAAAGAGAGCGUAGGCGGGAUAGCAAGUCAGAUGUGAAAUCCUAUGGCUUAACCAUAGAACUGCAUUGGAAACUGUUAAUCUAGAGUAAGGGAGAGGUAGGUGGAAUUCUUGGUGUAGGGGUAAAAUGCGUAGAUAUCAAGAGGAAUACUCAUGGCGAAGGC
rnacentral:rRNA from 1 species